GGUUCUAUGGUGUAAUGGUUAGCACGCUGGACUCUGAAUCCAGCAAUCUGUGUUCAAAUCUUGUUGGACAU
rnacentral:tRNA from 1 species